rnacentral:lncRNA from 1 species
CACCUCCCUUGGCACUUCAGCCAAUCCUUGCAGCCAGAGCCUUCAGUGCCGGAUAUCUAACCUUAGACAAUCUCAAUAGAAGAAACCCAGGACUUUGCCUCCUACGUUCUUACGCCUGGCCUCAUCGUGAUCCAUAAUACCAGCUGAGGUCGUCAAUACAAUGUAACCGAACUGCCCCAAAAAAAUCACAAGUCCAUGAGAAGAUAUGCUCUUCCAAUUCGUGGGUUCAUUGACUUGUUGCCAAGACAAUAAUGUGAAUGCCAAAUACAGAAAAUAUGAAACUUCGACAGGUUCGUGUGGACAUUGUAGACAACAAUCUCAUUGUGAUCCAAGAUUUAGGAUAAACCAAACCGCAAGAAUGAGAGAAACUAGACGCGCAAAAAUCAGCCGACAAAAACUAGUCUACACUUGAGUAUCAGAAUAUGGAAGAAUAUAUGAAAAACAUUAAACUAAGAGUGCCAUGAAAUGCAUCCAAAAACGAGAUCUAACCCCUACGUACAUUUGUCUGCAAAAGUGGAAAACUAAGUACGCAGCAGAAUAUUUCAGCAUGUGAAACUGUAAUUUGAAGGUGACCUAAAAUCUUUGUAAAAUUGCGCAUUCAAUGAUCAAAAUUGCUUGACAAACACAAACCUGACGAGAUGGUAGGAGCCGGGCAGUCCAAGCUUCGAGCUCACCAACUCCAACGUUGUAACGAGGACUGAUGACACCGCACUUGUUCAAUCUUCCAUUGAGCUCUACCACAAUCUUGCCAGCUCGGUGGUCAUCAACAAGCUCAAACUCUCCAAUAUAACCUGAAAAGAGCCAAAAGAGAGAAAACGAUCCGCUAUCAAUGCUGCAACUUAGACGCGAAGAUAAAUAGUUUAUUUUCGUAGAUGAGAGAGAGAGAGAGAGUCCAUUUUCCAUUUGUCGCACUAAAAUUGCAAACACUUUGGUGAUUCUGAUCCAUCGAAAUAGUUCGACCAGACGCACUGCCUAGCUCCAAUGGCAUACACACAUACGGAGCUGAAUAGGCUAAGGUUUCCGAAGAACUAAAUGAAACGGAGAUAAAUAAACAAAUGUAUCAACGUCACCUGAAAGGAGCACAACGAGAAACCCUAAGCCCUAAACCUGAGAACCCGUAAUGCCCAACACUCGUAAUACUCCGAGCACUGUCAUCCACUGACCCAGUACAAGGCACGCCUGCACGAGUAAGGGGGUUUAGAUUAUAACCACAUACCGUGCUUCUGCAUCACGGACAGGAACUUGAUGACGACCUUGGAGGAGGGGCGGAUGAGCACUUGGCGCUUGCCGCGCUUCUCCGCGUUGAACAUGUUCUUCAACGCAUCGUUGAGAACGCUAAUUCUAACCAUGAUGGGCGGACUGUGCCAGACAACCAACACCGGCAGGCAGGGCAGGACGGGUGGGGGGG